rnacentral:rRNA from 1 species
UACGUAGGGGGCAAGCGUUGUCCGGAUUUAUUGGGCGUAAAGAGCGUGUAGGCGGCCUGAAAGGUCAGCUGUGAAAACUCGAGGCUCAACCUCGAGACGUCGGUUGAAACCAUCUGGCUAGAGUCCGGAAGAGGAGUGUGGAAUUCCCGGUGUAGCGGUGAAAUGCGCAGAUAUCAGGAGGAACACCGGUGGCGAAGGCGGUUCUCUGGGCCACUACUGACGCUGAGAAGCGAAAGCAUGGGGAGCGAACAGG